GCCGUUUUAGCUCAAUAGGUAGAGCACUUCCAUGGUAAGGGAGAGAUGUCGGUUCAAAUCCGCCAAAUGGCU
rnacentral:tRNA from 1 species